CUUAGGCAAAUGAUAACUAUUUUCUCAGUUUUCUAGAAGAAUUUAAGUCUGAAUCUGAUCUGAUAAAUUAAUACUUCUAAAAAGGGUUUGUUCCAUCCUCCUCGUAUGGGAUAUGAUCCUACAGAAAAGAAAAGCCUACGUGCAAAUUCAGGCUUCUUAAUUUGCCUACAAUUGGGUCAAGCCCAUAUCAGAAUAGGCCAUGUUUGCAAUUGACUGAAACUUGACCCAUUUAGAAAUUGGAAGAGGAGGAGGGAAGAAAGUGAAUUAUUUUUAUUUUUUCUCAUCUUCUCUCUUCGUCCGCAACUCAACACCUUUCUUUCUCCGACAAUCAAUGGAAGCCGGCAAUUCUUCCAUCCAUUUCUCCUUUUUCUUGGACAUUUAAACCGCUUUUUCAUCUUCUUUUUUGCUUUUUUUUUUCUAAUUUUUUUCCUUAUCAUAAUUUAUCUCUUUCACAACAAAAACUGCAAUACGAGUUCAAAUUUUCAGAAUCAUGGCAUAUUCCCUUCUUCGAAAUCGUAAAGCUUCGGCUUUGGUCCUUUCUCGUGUUCUUCAAGGUUCCCCUUUCAUUUCCUCUAUUUCAUUUGCAUUGAAUAUAUUUUUGGUUUUUGUUUAAUGUUUACACUUUAAAAUUGGUUCUUCCCAGUUUUGUAAACAAGUCGGGGCGACUUAAAAGGAUUUCCUUUUUUAAUUGUUGAUACUAGGCACUACAGCUUAGUUGAAAUUGAACCUAGUUUUGAUGGAACACUGAGUGAUUCUAUCGAGUUCAAUUUGUAGUAAAAAGCUCUUUAUCUGUUCUUUGGCUAAAUUAUUUAUAUAUAAUUUUUUUCACUGAAUGUAAAUCAAGUACAGGACAAUUGUUUGUUUAUACGAUUAAUUAAUAGAGACAUGAGAGGAAUAUGAAUUGUAACUCAACUAACUCUGGGAUAAAUUUUUUUUAGAACAAUUAGUUCCUGGGGAACUGCCUGG
rnacentral:lncRNA from 1 species